rnacentral:tRNA from 1 species
GACGCUGUGGUGGAAUUGGUAGACACGCAGGACUUAGAAUCCUGUGGCUUGCCCGUGAGAGUUCAAGUCUCUCCAGCGUCACCA